GUGCUCACUUCAGCAGCACACAUACUAAAAUUGGAACGACAAAGAGAAGAUUAGCAAGACACCUGCACAAGGAGGAUAUGCAAAUUUGUGAAGCAUUCCAAAUUUUA